ACAGCAGUCGCCGCGGUAAUACGGAGGGUGCAAGCGUUAAUCGGAAUUACUGGGCGUAAAGCGCACGCAGGCGGUCUGACAAGUCAGAUGUGAAAUCCCCGGGCUUAACCUGGGAACUGCAUUUGAAACUGUCAGGCUGGAGUCUUGUAGAGGGGGGUAGAAUUCCAGGUGUAGCGGUGAAAUGCGUAGAGAUCUGGAGGAAUACCGGUGGCGAAGGCGGCCCCCUGGACAAAGACUGACGCUCAGGUGCGAAAGCGUGGGGAGCAAACAGGAUUAGAUACCCCUGUAGUCCUGUCUCUUAUACA
rnacentral:rRNA from 1 species